AGGACGAACGCUGGCGGCGCGCUAACACAUGCAAGUCGAGCGAGAACCGGGCCUCGGGCCCGGGGACGAGCGGCGAACGGGUGAGUAACACGUGGGUAACCUGCCCUCGGCACCGGGAUAGCCCGGGGAAACCCCGGAUUAAUACCGGAUGGCCUCCGGAGCCUGCGGGCGCCGGAGAAAAGGUGGCUUCGGCAUCUGGCCGAGGAGGGGCCUGCGGCGGAUUAGCUUGUUGGUGGGGUAACGGCUCACCAAGGCUACGAUCCGUAGCUGGUCUGAGAGGACGAUCAGCCACACUGGGACUGAGACACGGCCCAGACUCCUACGGGAGGCAGCAGUGGGGAAUCUUGCGCAAUGGGCGAAAGCCUGACGCAGCGACGCCGCGUGCGGGAAGAAGGCCUUCGGGUUGUAAACCGCUUUCAGGAGGGACGAAGCUACUCGGGUGAACAGCCCAGAGGGUGACGGUACCUUCAGAAGAAGCCCCGGCUAACUACGUGCCAGCAGCUGC
rnacentral:rRNA from 1 species